rnacentral:rRNA from 1 species
CGUGUUGCUUGAUAGUGCAGCCCUAAGUGGGUGGUAAACUCCAUCUAAGGCUAAAUAUAACCACGAGACCGAUAGCACACAAGUACCGUGAGGGAAAGGUGAAAAGAACUUUGAAGAGAGAGUUCAAGAGUACGUGAAACUGAGGUGGUGUAAACGGACGAGAUCGAAAAGUCCGAAUGGGGAGAUUCAGGCCUAUCCGUGCCGGUGGCCGGCGGGUUCAGAUGGUGCGGUCGGCAGCGGGCUCUCGGGCUGCGCUGUUUGCUCCGUAUUCACUCGGCUCGACGGUAACUGUCUGGUGCGGUGGGCUGCACUUCUCCCCUAGUAGGACGUCGCGACCCGUUGGGAUUGUUCCGAUCGUGGCCCCUGGUGGAGCCCGUGCCGGGGCAGUGGGCUUGCUCGCUGUUGCUGUGCACGGACCCGGGGUGACCUGAUCGGCGCUCGACGGUAUCAAAGCAUUGGGAAGGGACCGCACAGAGGUUGCGUCCGAUGCCCGUUUCGGGCUGUUCUCGGACAGGUUCGUACCCGGUCAGCGGCGCUACUGCUUUCGAUACUCGUCCGACCCGUCUUGAAACACGGACCAAA